GGACUUCAGCUCCCAGUGAAAGUGCAGAGGGUAUGAAAACAAAAAGAGGUUGGCUGUGAACCUAAGCCACUGUGAAGAUCUUGUCCAAAGUACCCCACAGUUCUCCAGUGGAUCAUGCUGACCCCAAGGCUUCAGGUGAUCCCAAUGUGCAGCCAAGUUUGAGAACCAGUGCUCUGAUGGAUUUUCCCUUGUGAAGUGUACC